UGGGGAAUAUUGGACAAUGGGCGCAAGCCUGAUCCAGCCAUGCCGCGUGAGUGAUGAAGGCCUUAGGGUUGUAAAGCUCUUUCGCCGGUGAAGAUAAUGACGGUAACCGGAGAAGAAGCCCCGGCUAACUUCGUGCCAGCAGCCGCGGUAAUACGAAGGGGGCUAGCGUUGCUCGGAAUCACUGGGCGUAAAGCGCACGUAGGCGGAUCGUUAAGUCAGGGGUGAAAUCCUGGAGCUCAACUCCAGAACUGCCCUUGAUACUGGCGAUCUCGAGUUCGAGAGAGGUUGGUGGAACUCCGAGUGUAGAGGUGAAAUUCGUAGAUAUUCGGAAGAACACCAGUGGCGAAGGCGGCCAACUGGCUCGAUACUGACGCUGAGGUGCGAAAGCGUGGGGAGCAAAACAGGAUUAGAUACCCUGGUAGUCCACGCCGUAAACGAUGGAUGCUAGCCGUUGGGGGGUUUACCUCUCAGUGGCGCAGCUAACGCCUUAAGCAUCCCGCCUGGGGAGUACGGUCGCAAGAUUAAAACUUAAAUGAAUUGACGGGGUCAUAGCUGUUUCCU
rnacentral:rRNA from 1 species